GAUGAACGCUAGCUACAGGCUUAACACAUGCAAGUCGAGGGGAAACGAUAUUGGAAGCUUGCUUCCGAUAGGCGUCGACCGGCGCACGGGUGAGUAACGCGUAUCCAACCUGCCCAUCACUUGGGGAUAACCUUGCGAAAGUAAGACUAAUACCCAAUGACGUCUCUAGAAGACAUCUGAAGGAGAUUAAAGAUUUAUCGGUGAUGGAUGGGGAUGCGUCUGAUUAGCUUGUUGGCGGGGUAACGGCCCACCAAGGCGACGAUCAGUAGGGGUUCUGAGAGGAAGGUCCCCCACAUUGGAACUGAGACACGGUCCAAACUCCUACGGGAGGCAGCAGUGAGGAAUAUUGGUCAAUGGACGAGAGUCUGAACCAGCCAAGUAGCGUGCAGGAUGACGGCCCUAUGGGUUGUAAACUGCUUUUAUAAGGGAAUAAAGUGAGUCUCGUGAGAUUUUUUGCAUGUACCUUAUGAAUAAGGACCGGCUAAUUCCGUGCCAGCA
rnacentral:rRNA from 1 species